CACGUGGACCGUGCGGGGGGCGACGGGGAGGCUGCUACGUGUCGCUGGUGGCUCUCCUCCUCCGAUCGAGGGCUUCGAGCACUACCGCUGCGACCGCAACCUCUCCAUGGGCAUGAACCAAGAUGCUCCGCUGCGCCGGGAACAACGACAUCAUCACCCUCAAGGCCGACGAUGGCAGCGACACCGUCACCUUCAUGUUUGAAAGCCCCAUUAAUUUUUUGGAUGAUACAAAGAAUUGAGAAUGGUGGUGCUAUGAGCAUUCUGCAGGCAAGGAACUGAGGAAAGAUAAGUGCUAAAUUUUUUAUUUUGAUCUGAAACCUAUCAAAAUGGUGAACUAAUUUUUUUUUUCUCUUUUUUCUCUAUAUUUCAUUCACUAUCUUGCUGCAUCAAUUUUUUCUAAAGAUCAUAUAAGGCUGUAAAUCCUUUCUCAAAUGAUGGUUUCCUAUGGGAUUGGAUGGUUGUGAUCUUGCAAAUAGCAACCUCCUAUGAACUUGAUGAGAAAAAAAUCAGACAUAAUUUUUCAAAUAUUUUUGAGCAUGAUUCUCCUAAUCCCCUUAAGCUUUCAUAUCCAAUAAACAAUCCGUCAAUGAAAGUGGAGGGCUGCUGCAAGCGCAGUAGUAACCUUUUCAAAACUCUCUCAGAUGAUGCUUUUAGACUAUAAAACUGAUGAGAGGCUGUCCUAAACACAUUCUCUCCUGCUUUCCUCGCCAUUAUCUCCCAUGGGUUUUCAUUAUUGAAAAAGAAAAAAUUCGAACAGCCUAUACAGGAAAAGGUCUGAUCUUUUAAAUUUUUCAUCUUUUCUUUGUUUUCACUGAUUUUUUCUAUCUUUUUCUAAUUUUUGAUGUACUUUUUCUAUUUGUGGGAGUGUCAACCAGAUGGGAAGCUCGGAGCGGUCGAAUAGAAAAAUUUAAAUCUACCUCAAUCUGAUGAGAGGCUUGGAGCAGAUGAGGUGUCUUAAUCAGAUGAGAGGCUUGGAGUAGCUGAAUAGAGAAUUUUAGAUCAAUCUCAAUCGGUUGAGAGGUCUGGUGGGGCUACUAGUCUAGUCCCUACCCACCGGCACAUUCAGCAGCUUAAAGGAACGUGUAGUUGCAAACACAGGCUUGGUGUGAUCACCAGAAUUGUUGCCACCUUAAUAUGUGCAAAAACAGAUGUCUCAAAAAUUAGCUUAAUAAGACAGGGAUGACUCAAGCUUUUUACUCCUUUGGUACAUCAGAGUUAGCUGUAUCGUUUGCAGCUCCGUGAUUCUGUCACAGAUGGCGUAUGUAAGUCAGAAAUAUCUCUGAUCAUCCAAAGAACUUCACAGCACAGAAAAAAUGAGCUCCAUUUUAUCUCUUUGCAAGGAUUUCUUCACGUAUGGCAUUUUCAGAGAGUGUUUGUUUUGUGGUUCGAAUCCGAAUAGAUUGAAAUCAAAAUAAAAUGAGAUUUGAAUGCUUGAAGAAAGUUUGUAUUGGAUUUUGGGAGAUUCGAAUAUUUUCAUAAAAUUGAAAUA